AUGCAGACAGUUUAUGUUGUUUUUUGUCUGUCUGUUGUUUCUGCUGUACAGUGCCUGGAUUCCAACAUUAUCCGCUCCUCCAGAGAAAUGACAAACUCUCAAGAGUCAGUAUUGCAGCCACAGAGUGACACAGUUGCAAAUUCCCACAAUUAUGUUAGAAGAACCUCAGCUGUGCAGGGAAUCAGAGAAGCUACGCCUCCUGCGCACGACUGUACCACUGCACAAGCAGCUGAAUGCAAAGGCUCAAAGAAAAAACAGCACAAUGCUGCCAAGACAAAGAUUCAGUUGGAUGUGCAAGGAAGUCAAAAAGUGCCCGAGAUGUCACCGUGCGUGCGCUCGCGCGACUGUGAAGAGGGUCUGUGCUGCGCGCUCUACUUGACGGGAAGGAGAUGUCAGCGCGUCCCCGCGUUGGGCGAGGUUUGCUUGCUGCGGGGACGCGCCAAAUUCCGCCGGAGACUGGAGCGCUGCGACUGCGAGAAGAGUCUGCACUGCCGCGCGCAGCCCGACAGUCCUCGCGGACAGGGAGUGUGUCAGCCCGACCCGAGGAGCUAA
ensembl:lncRNA